AUUGAACGCUGGCGGCAGGCUUAACACAUGCAAGUCGAACGAUGACUCUCUAGCUUGCUAGAGAAGAUUAGUGGCGGACGGGUGAGUAACAUUUAGGAAUCUGCCUAGUAGUGGGGGAUAGCUCGGGGAAACUCGAAUUAAUACCGCAUACGACCUACGGGUGAAAGGGGGCGCAAGCUCUUGCUAUUAGAUGAGCCUAAAUCAGAUUAGCUAGUUGGUGGGGUAAAGGCCCACCAAGGCGACGAUCUGUAACUGGUCUGAGAGGGUGAUCAGUCACACCGGAACUGAGACACGGUCCGGACUCCUACGGGAGGCAGCAGUGGGGAAUAUUGGACAAUGGGGGCAACCCUGAUCCAGCCAUGCCGCGUGUGUGAAGAAGGCCUUUUGGUUGUAAAGCACUUUAAGCAGGGAGGAGAGGCUAAUGGUUAAUACCCAUUAGAUUAGACGUUACCUGCAGAAUAAGCACCGGCUAACUCUGUGCCAGCAGCCGCGGUAAUACAGAGGGUGCGAGCGUUAAUCGGAAUUACUGGGCGUAAAGCGAGUGUAGGUGGCUCAUUAAGUCACAUGUGAAAUCCCCGGGCUUAACCUGGGAACUGCAUGUGAUACUGGUGGUGCUAGAAUAUGUGAGAGGGAAGUAGAAUUCCAGGUGUAGCGGUGAAAUGCGUAGAGAUCUGGAGGAAUACCGAUGGCGAAGGCAGCUUCCUGGCAUAAUAUUGACACUGAGAUUCGAAAGCGUGGGUAGCAAACAGGAUUAGAUACCCUGGUAGUCCACGCCGUAAACGAUGUCUACUAGCCGUUGGGGUCCUUGAGACUUUAGUGGCGCAGUUAACGCGAUAAGUAGACCGCCUGGGGAGUACGGCCGCAAGGUUAAAACUCAAAUGAAUUGACGGGGGCCCGCACAAGCGGUGGAGCAUGUGGUUUAAUUCGAUGCAACGCGAAGAACCUUACCUGGUCUUGACAUAGUGAGAAUCCUGCAGAGAUGCGGGAGUGCCUUCGGGAAUUCACAUACAGGUGCUGCAUGGCUGUCGUCAGCUCGUGUCGUGAGAUGUUGGGUUAAGUCCCGCAACGAGCGCAACCCUUUUCCUUAUUUGCCAGCGGGUUAAGCCGGGAACUUUAAGGAUACUGCCAGUGACAAACUGGAGGAAGGCGGGGACGACGUCAAGUCAUCAUGGCCCUUACGACCAGGGCUACACACGUGCUACAAUGGUAGGUACAGAGGGUUGCUACACAGCGAUGUGAUGCUAAUCUCAAAAAGCCUAUCGUAGUCCGGAUUGGAGUCUGCAACUCGACUCCAUGAAGUCGGAAUCGCUAGUAAUCGCAGAUCAGAAUGCUGCGGUGAAUACGUUCCCGGGCCU
rnacentral:rRNA from 1 species